rnacentral:lncRNA from 1 species
AAGAGCGGAAGGGAAAGUUUCCGGAACUCCGGCCUAACCAUCGUCCCCAAACUAUCCCGGCUCUCACCCCACGGGAAAAAAAAAAAAAAAAAAAAAAAAAAAACGGGCGGUUAGAACCAAACAGCCACCCAUCAGCCCCAACUACCGUUUUUGACGCAGAUGGCUAUGCGAAGCCAUGUCAAGACGAACCGCAGCCCUAAUCUCCUCAAUCUCGUGCGGCCACCACCCUUCCGAACGUUGUUGGUUAGCCAUUAUAUCGGCCGCCUUGUUUCCUUCUCUAAAGAUGUGAGAAACCUGC